rnacentral:tRNA from 1 species
GGGCAUUUGGCACAGUGGUAGCGCGCACGCUUCGCAUAUUUCUGGAUUUGCGUGAGGUCCAGGGUUCAAUCCCCUGAAUGUCCA